rnacentral:rRNA from 1 species
GAUGAACGCUGGCGGCGUGCCUAAUACAUGCAAGUCGAGCGAACAGACGAGGAGCUUGCUCCUCUGACGUUAGCGGCGGACGGGUGAGUAACACGUGGAUAACCUACCUAUAAGACUGGGAUAACUUCGGGAAACCGGAGCUAAUACCGGAUAAUAUAUUGAACCGCAUGGUUCAAUAGUGAAAGACGGUUUUGCUGUCACUUAUAGAUGGAUCCGCGCCGCAUUAGCUAGUUGGUAAGGUAACGGCUUACCAAGGCAACGAUGCGUAGCCGACCUGAGAGGGUGAUCGGCCACACUGGACUGAGACACGGUCCAGACUCCUACGGGAGGCAGCAGUAGGGAAUCUUCCGCAAUGGGCGAAAGCCUGACGGAGCAACGCCGCGUGAGUGAUGAAGGUCUUCGGAUCGUAAAACUCUGUUAUUAGGGAAGAACAAAUGUGUAAGUAACUAUGCACGUCUUGACGGUACCUAAUCAGAAAGCCACGGCUAACUACGUG